rfam:Daphnia pulex DAPPTscaffold_830_Cont11189, whole genome shotgun sequence.
UCCCAUAUUGUCUAGUGGUUAGGAUACCUGGCUCUCACCCAGGAGGCCCGGGUUCAAAUCCCGGUAUGGGAA